rnacentral:rRNA from 1 species
GAUGAACGCUGGCGGCGUGCCUAACACAUGCAAGUCGAGCGAUUCUCUUCGGAGAAGAGCGGCGGACGGGUGAGUAACGCGUGGGUAACCUGCCCUAUACACAUGGAUAACAUACCGAAAGGUAUGCUAAUACAGGAUAAUAUGAGAGAGUCGCAUGGCUUUCUUAUCAAAGCUCCGGCGGUAUAGGAUGGACCCGCGUCUGAUUAGCUAGUUGGUGAGGUAAUGGCUCACCAAGGCGACGAUCAGUAGCCGACCUGAGAGGGUGAUCGGCCACAUUGGAACUGAGACACGGUCCAAACUCCUACGGGAGGCAGCAGUGGGGAAUAUUGCACAAUGGGCGAAAGCCUGAUGCAGCAACGCCGCGUGAGCGAUGAAGGCCUUCGGGUCGUAAAGCUCUGUCCUCAAGGAAGAUAAUGACGGUACUUGAGGAGGAAGCCCCGGCUAACUACGUGCCAGCCGCCGCCGUAACAC